AAAUUGAAGAGUUUGAUCAUGGCUCAGAUUGAACGCUGGCGGCAGGCCUAACACAUGCAAGUCGAGCGGUAGCACAGAGAGCUUGCUCUCGGGUGACGAGCGGCGGACGGGUGAGUAAUGUCUGGGAAACUGCCUGAUGGAGGGGGAUAACUACUGGAAACGGUAGCUAAUACCGCAUAACGUCGCAAGACCAAAGUGGGGGACCUUCGGGCCUCAUGCCAUCAGAUGUGCCCAGAUGGGAUUAGCUAGUAGGUGGGGUAACGGCUCACCUAGGCGACGAUCCCUAGCUGGUCUGAGAGGAUGACCAGCCACACUGGAACUGAGACACGGUCCAGACUCCUACGGGAGGCAGCAGUGGGGAAUAUUGCACAAUGGGCGCAAGCCUGAUGCAGCCAUGCCGCGUGUGUGAAGAAGGCCUUCGGGUUGUAAAGCACUUUCAGCGGGGAGGAAGGCGGUGAGGUUAAUAACCUUACCGAUUGACGUUACCCGCAGAAGAAGCACCGGCUAACUCCGUGCCAGCAGCCGCGGUAAUACGGAGGGUGCAAGCGUUAAUCGGAAUUACUGGGCGUAAAGCGCACGCAGGCGGUC
rnacentral:rRNA from 1 species